rnacentral:rRNA from 1 species
UCUACGGGUGGCUGCAGUGGGGGAUAUUGCACAAUGGGGGAAACCCUGAUGCAGCGACGCCGCGUGUGGGAAGACGGUCCUCUGGAUUGUAAACCACUGUCCCCAGGGACGAAGAUGACGGUACCUGGGGAGGAAGCUCCGGCUAACUACGUGCCAGCAGCCGCGGUAAUACGGAGGGAGCGAGCUUUGUCCGGAAUUACUGGGUGUAAAGGGAGCGUAGGCGGGGAGGCAAGUUGGGUGUCAAAACUACCGGCUCAACUGGUAGUCGCACUCAAAACUGCAGCUCUUGAGUGAAGUAGAGGCAGGCGGAAUUCCUAGUGUAGCGGUGAAAUGCGUAGAUAUUAGGAGGAACACCAGUGGCGAAGGCGGUCUACUGGACAGCAACUGACGCUGAGGCGCGAAAGCGUGGGGAGCAAACAGGAUUAGAUACCCGUGUAGUC